GACGAACGCUGGCGGCGCGCCUAACACAUGCAAGUCGAACGAGAGAUGAAGAGCUUGCUCUUCAAAUCGAGUGGCGAACGGGUGAGUAACGCGUGAGGAACCUGCCUCAAAGAGGGGGACAACAGUUGGAAACGACUGCUAAUACCGCAUAAGCCCACGGCUCGGCAUCGAGCAGAGGGAAAAGGAGCAAUCCGCUUUGAGAUGGCCUCGCGUCCGAUUAGCUAGUUGGUGAGGUAACGGGCCCCACCAAAGGGCGACGAAUCGGGGUAAGACCGGGUCUGAGAGGAUGAACGGCCACACUGGAACUGAGACACGGUCCAGACUCCUACGGGAGGCAGCAGUGGGGAAUCUUCC
rnacentral:rRNA from 1 species